rnacentral:snoRNA from 7 species
ACCCCCCCUUUCACUUUGCCAAUUGGACUUAAUGUCUUCAUUGGCCAUUCAAGUGGGGCAAAGGAAAUAACCUUUUAAAACUCAGGCAAACUUAAGUGUUUGUCUUGUAACCUGUCAGGGGAAACAUUA